rnacentral:tRNA from 1 species
CGGGGUGUGGCUCAGUCUGGUAGAGCACUACUUUAGGGAAGUAGGGGCCGCAAGUUCAAAUCUUGUCACUCCGA